UACGGAGGGUGCGAGCGUUGUUCGGAAUCACUGGGCGUAAAGGGCGUGUAGGCGGUCCGCUAAGUCUGAUGUGAAAGCCCGGGGCUCACCCCCGGAAGUGCAUUGGAAACUGGCGGACUCGAGUCCCGGAGAGGAGAGUGGAAUUCCUGGUGUAGCGGUGAAAUGCGUAGAUAUCGGGAGGAACACCUGUGGCGAAAGCGGCAUCCUGGACCGGCAUUGACGCUGAGGCGCGAAAGCCAGGGGAGCAAACGGG
rnacentral:rRNA from 1 species